rnacentral:snoRNA from 1 species
AAUCGCAGUGACGACUUCCAAAUUUCAAGCUCAACAGACCGGAUUGCAGGUCUCUCUUCUUGAGAUGAUUGCUUGCAUGUCGAUUAUCCCGCUGAACCGAGCGUUC